rnacentral:lncRNA from 1 species
CACUGGAGGAGAAAAGGGCCAAGCUUGAUAAGCAGCGUGGGAGGGGAUAAUAACUGGCUGUGACCUCGCCCGCCCGGCAGCUCUGGUUCACAGUGCAGGGGAGCCGCCAGCCAACUUUGGAUGGAGGUCUUGGCAGAGCCCUGCCAGCAAAGAAAGAAAAAACAGAAGUUGUACUAAAUUGGUCCUUUUAUGGACACUUUCUCCCUUCAUUAUUCACCUCUCUCAAGCAACCAUAUAAAUCAUCUUGUGCCUGAAUUCUAAAAUUCCAGGGAGUUGGUAGGUGAGCAACGGCGGGAGGCCUGGGCCUCUUGCCAGUACAAAACCCGGAGGACAUUCCGGGGCUUCAGCCAGCUCCCAAAAGCCCUCUUUCCUUUCUUCUCUGAGCCCUAGGGAUUGGCCAGCCUAUUUCCUUUCCACUGAUGCCACCUGUUAUUUCCAACUGCGUUGAUCUCCUCUCCUGCUACAGUGUGGGAUGGAAGACAGAUUCAUGACUGCUGGCCCACGUUGCUCUCACCAACAGCCAUUUACUGCCUGCUCACGUGUGUUAGGCACUCUACUAUCCACUUUGUAUCAUAAUAGCAUUUUACAGAAGAGGAACGAAAGUUCUCAUACAUCAAAUAACCUCACAAGAUUAGAUGGGGUCUCCUCUCUGUUGCCCAGCUUGGAGCAAAGUGGUGUGAUCAUAACUCACUGCAGCCUGCAAUUCCUUGCUAGAGCCCUCCUCCUGCCUCAGCCUCCCACAUAUGAGUAGCUGGGACUAUAGGGGUAAGCCACCAUGCCCAUCUAAUUUUAUUUUUUUGAGACGGAGUCUUGCUCUGUUGCCCACGCUGGAGUGCAGUGGAGCAAUCUCGGCUCAUUGCAACCUCAGCCUCCGAAGUAGCUGGGAUUAUGGUGCCCACCACCAUGCCCAACUAAUUUUUUGUAUUUUUAGUAGAGAUGAGGUUUCUCCAAGUUGGCUAGGCUGGUCUCGAAUUCCUGACCUCAAGGGAUUUUUCCACCUCAGCCUCCCAAAGUGCUAGGAUUACAGGCAUUAGCCACUGCACCCAGCCUCAUGCCUACCUAAUUUUAAGAAAUUUUUUAGUCUGGGUGUGGUGGCUCACACCUGUAAUCCCAGCACUUUGGGAGGCUGAGGUGGGCAGAUCACAAGGUCGGGAGAUCGAGACCAUCCUGGCCAACAUUUUAAAUAAAUACAUUUUUGAGAGACAGGGUCUCGCUAUGUUGCCCAGACUAGUCUUAAACUCCUGGCCUCAGGCAAUUCUGUCAUAGCCUUCCGAGUUGCUGCAAUUACAGGUAUGAGCCACUGUGCUUAUAUUUAUAAUUUUUAUGUGUAGGCAAUUCUAGAGUGGAACAUUUAUUUGUCUCUCUCCUUUCCUUCUUCUAUCUCUCCCUAUACUCUUCUUUUUCUGUUUAGGUCAGCUCUGUCCAAUAGAACUGUCUGCAAUGACGGAAGUAUUUUGUAUCUGUGCUAUCCAGUAUAGCAGCACUAGCCCACAUGCGGCUACGGAGUACCUGGAAGACAGCUAGUGAGACUGAGAAACUGGAUUUCAAAUUUUCUUUAAUCUUAAUGCAUAUAAAUUUAAAUAUAUCUAGCCACAUAAGGCUAGUAACUACUAUGCUAGUCCGUGUAGGUAGUAUUUUAGUAAUUCCCUGACUGGGCCCCCUAACCCAGAACCAGAACUUCUAUGGGCAGCUGGAGGAAGUGAUACUCUAGAUCUUGUAAUUGAGUGAGGACAGAGCGUGGCUCAAUUCCUAGUCUGUAGGCUAUGUGUGAGCUCUAUCUUUCUAGGCAUACAUUUUUUUUUUUUUGAGAAGGCAUUUCACUCUUGUUGCCCAGGAUGGAGUGCAGUGGUGUGAUCUUGGUUCACUGCAACCUCCGCCUCCCAGGCUCAAGCGAUUCUCCUACCUCAGCCUCCCAAGUAGCUGGAACUACAGACAUAUGCCACCACGCCUGACUAAUUUUGUAUUUUUAGUAGAGAAAAGAUUUCUCCAUGUUGGUCAGUCUGGUCUUGAACUCCCGACCUCAGGUGAUCCGCCCGCCUCAGCUUCCCAAAGUGCUGGGAUUACAGGCAUAAGCCACCACGAUCGGCCUAGGUAUACAUUUUAAUAUAAAUCAUGGCCCAGGUUACAGAUUUUGUCAGCCUCCUCUGAGGAACAGUGGAGCCUCGUCCCAGCCUCUGGCUUUAAGUUGUGGGUCUUCCGCUGCAUCAGAUGGGGCACCUUUCUUCCUCAUGACCCUGCAAAAACCACACUCUGGCCAGGCCUGCUUUCUCCCAGACCCAAAGCAUGUCAGGCUAAAAACUUCACUGUCCACUGCUCUAAGUUUUCUCCUCUUUCUGGCCCAUAGCCAUUUACAUUUUGUUUUGGGAACAGCUAUAACUUUAUACCUUUUUAUUUCUGUACUUUAAAGGUGCAAUGUAUCUGGAAUUCAGAAAGCUAGAUUGAAUCUGCAAAGUGCUAACAAAUGGAAGGAGAGUUUCUGCAUUUUUGAACAGCAUGAUGGUAAUACAGGUAGAAAUAAUCAUAAAAGUUUAAGUGCCAAAAUUAUUGUAAGAAGCAGUUUGGAAUUUGACUCUGGUUGUAUUUGUAUUGUGAAGAUGCAAGUGCUGUGGGAAAGCAUGACAAGGCUGCUGCUGAAGUCUCCUUGGGUGUGGGCCUUGGCUCUGCAGGAUGGGGCACCUAGGGCUGACAGGGAACUGACACCAACCCAACUUCUAAGCCUCCACCAUGAUGCCAGCAAAUCUUACGCUUCUAAUUCAUUCACUUGCGCUGGUCCUUUCCGAUGCCCUGGGAGCAAUUUCAUAUUUGCCAGUUUGUGUUCUUUUUCUUUUCUUUUUUUUUGAGACAGAGUCUUGCUCUGUUGUCCAGGCUGGAGUGCAGUGGCACAAUCAUGGCUCACUGUAGCCUCUACCUCCUGGGGCUCAAGCAAUUCUUCCAUCUCAGCCCCGUAGUAGCUAGGACUAUAGGCCUGUGCUGACACACCCAACUAACUUCUUGAAAUUUUUUGUAGAGAUGGGAUCUCGCCAUGUCAUCCAGGCUGGCCUGGAACUCCUGAGCUCAGGCGAUCCACCCACCUUGGCCUCCCAAAGUGCUGAGAUAACAGGCGUGAGCCAAGAUGCCCAGCCUGUGUUUUUCUUAAAGACAUCCUCCCUAAUUAAAAAAAAAAUAUUCGGGCAACACAGCCCCUGGAUAUGCCCCUGCAAGGCACCGAAGAUUAAAUAAAAGUGCCGAUUUCCAGUGGAGUAGGUAAUUUUCUAGAGAGUAAGUCUCCAUGGGUAUUGAAAUGCUAGGAGGUAGCAUUAACCUUCAACAUGUUGCUUGGAUUGCUCAGAAAGCCAGGAGAGACGGGAUGAUCUUGCUUAGCGCAGGAACACCCAUGUAAAUUUCAGAGCUAUUCACAACCAGCUUCAAAGUGUAUCUAUAGUUCCUGUGUGUGACCAAUUCAGUAUGCAUGAUCUCUCUUCCCAAGAGAAUAUUUGAUUAACUGCCCAAAAUCUUACUGGCUUUUUUUUUCUUUAAGAUUCCAUUACUCACCAUCUGCCAGUUCUUAAUUAACAUAAUUCUUUCUUUGUUAGGGUGUAAUAUAAUAGAUUAAACAACAGCUUUCAAGACUCCACCUUAGCUGCCCUUUAAUGAAAUCUGACUACUCCCUAAUCCCCUCAACUUCAUAUUCACAGGUCAUCUUUUAGGGUGGGUUAAUCCUAUCACCCACUCUACAGAUUCACUGUUCCUGGCUUAGUCGUCUUAAGGUCAUCUUGCUUCCAGUCUCAGGGUCACCUCACUGUCAUCUGCGUGCACUGAUUGCAUACUUAGCAGCAACAUGUCAUUAACAUCCUGAAACUCCAAGCACAUUUUGAAGUUAAUAAGUUAUAUGAUUAAAAAUUGGAAAAAGUCUUACAGAGAGCAGAUACGUAAAAGUCUUCUCCCUUUCCUAUAUUUGCUGGGGAAAGCUAGAAGGUCUCAAAUCUAGACGAGGCACUUUAUGUUUCAUUAUACAGACAACAAAAGCCGAAUAACCACAGACAAGGAGAGCAAGAGAAAUACUUUAUCCUUCCUUAAGCAACCACCCCGAGUGAUAUGGAUUAAUUGUAUUAUUAAUAAUCACUGCUUUAGAUGGGAGGCACCUUUAGUGGAGUAUGUAA